CUUUGGAACACUGCGUGCUACAGAGUGGAAACACGUGUCGUCGUCAGCUCGUCAUCGUGAGAUGAUAUGGUAAGUACUGCAACGAGCGCAACCCUCGUCCCAUGUUGCCAGCGGGUUAUGCCGGGGACUCACGGGAGACUGCCUGGGUCAACUCGGAGGAAGGUGGGGAUGACGUCAAAUCAUCAUGCCCCUUAUGUCUUGGGCUUCACGCAUGAUACAAUGGCCGGUACAAAGGGCUGCGAUACCGUAAGGUGGAGCGAAUCCCAAAAAGCCGGUCUCAGUUCGGAUUGGGGUCUGCAACUCGACCCCAUGAAGUCGGAGUCGCUAGUAAUCGCAGAUCAGCAACGCUGCGGUGAAUACGUUCCCGGGCCUUGUACACACCGCCCGUCAAGUCACGAAAGUCGGUAACACCCGAAGCCCAUGGCCCAACCGUUCGCGGGGGGGA
rnacentral:rRNA from 1 species